AUUGAACGCUGGCGGCAGGCCUAACACAUGCAAGUCGAGCGAGCGGCGGACGGGUGCGUAAUGUAUGGGGCAUGCCCGAUAGAGGGGGAUAACUACUGGAAACCGUUGCUAAUACCGCAUACUAUCGGCUACGCCAUUUGGGAUUAGCUAGUGGGUGAGGUAAUGGCUCACCUAGGCGACGAUCCCUAGCUGGUCUGAGAGGAUGAUCAGCCACACUGGGAAUGAGACACGGCCCAGACUCCUACGGAGGCAGAAGUGGGGAAUAUUGCAAAAUGGGCGCAAGCCUGAUGCAGCCAUGCCGCGUGUAUGAAGAAGGCCUUAGGGUUGUAAAGCACUUUUAGUAGGGAGGCGGUACCGAAAGAAGAAGCAACGGCUAACUCCGUGCCAGCAGCCGCGGUAAUUC
rnacentral:rRNA from 1 species